UCUGCCUCUCAAAUGCUGGAAUUAAAGGCAUCUACCACCGCACACAUAUUCACAUAUUUUGAAUAAUCCACAUAUUUUAAAUACCUAACCUAUACAUCGCUAACUCUAUGAAUUCUUCCUUAAUCUCACCUGUCAAGAAGUGAGGUAGUGAGGUCUUUCUGUCUUUUUUUUUUUUGGCAUUUUACUAUUACCUGCAUAUUGUUGUACAGUCAUCUAUCUUGUAAGUUACCAUGACACAGACCAUGAGAAACUUAAAUACAUAGCUUACACAUCACAAAUUCUGUAGACUCUUAAUCUCACCUCUCUAGAAGUGAGGCAUUCUAUCUUUUUUGUGGCAUUUCACUCUUACCUGCUGAUGGUUGUACAGUUAUCUAUCCUGUAAAUUGACAUGGCACAGCCAUGAAAAACUUACAUCUGGGUGUCUCUUCUUGUCCCUCUGAUAGUGCCUUCCCCACAGAAAAGUCUUUGGACACAUUUACAAAAUGAAUGCAUGCAAGAAGAAAGAUAUGGUGAAGCCCUCGGGGAAAACACAAGAGGGAGUCCUGAGAAAAACUUGUUUGGGAGAGUAGCUGCAACCAGAACUCCAGACACAAGUGCAUUGAAGCACAUGUAGGCAUCCAGGCAAGGCCAUUAUCCAGGACACCAGCAAGGCGCCUCAGCAGUUAGGGCUUACUAUGCUCUUCAGGCUGGUCUUAAACAUCGUGGCUCCCAAGAUCCUCCUGUUCAGCCUCCCAAUGCAGAGACUAUAGUGAUACACCAUUCUGUUUGGCCCCACAUGUUCUUUGUUCUCUAUAACUAAUGAUUGCCUUUUUAUAAGAUUCUGUAAAAAUGCAGAUCAUUGCAUUGCAUACUUGGCUUAAGUUUUAUCUCAGUAUUUCCUUUACUGGCUCCUUUUCAUGUCUCUCUAGUCUAAGUGGCUAUUUACUUAUUCUUGUAGGGUGGGAUUUUUUUUUUUUUCUUUUCUGUUUUGAGACUGGAUUCCACUGUGUUGUCCAUACUGGAAUCAAGCUGUCGCAUGGUUAUCCUGGACUCACAUGAUAAUCCUGCCCAUGCAACCCAGUAGCUGGGACUGUAGGCAUGCAUAGACCACUCACUGCAUUCUUUUGUUUAACCACAUGCUUUCUAAAGAUGACUCAGGUCUAGACCCCUAGUCAUUUAUUUAAACAUCUUGUUAGUAGUUAUCCGUCUAUGUGAGUAGGCUUUGAUACUAUAACUCUUGUCUGAUGUUUGCCUGCCUAUCUACCUGUCUAAACUUCCCAAACUAGGUAUUUCUCUGAAUUUACUUAUACAAUUUAUUUUUAACUUCUCCAUGUCUCCCUUUUCUUUUCCUUUCUCGUUUCUUUUCUUUUCUUUUUUUAGAGCAAGAUAAUGUUUGUACUUAGAGAGUCAAUUGUGAGGGUUUUUUAAGAGGCUAUGGCAGCCUCUUAGCAUAGACUCUGGCACAUAGUAGAGGCAUAAUAAAUAGUUACUAAAUAAUGGAUCAUAUUUCAGGUUACGCACACUCAAAAUAUUGGUGUGGCACGCUGCUUGCCCUUCUCACAGUCAGCCAUCGAGCCCUGCUGCUUUCACAAAUCAGGAUUUUAGGUUAACAAAUCUGGAGCGGUUUUGUCUUUCCUGCUUCAUUAGUUUUUCAGUAGAAUAUACUAUACUACAAUGAUUAUUGAAUGUUAUUUUACAUGCACUACCUCAUUUAAUCCAGAACAGAAUCACAAAGAUAUUCUGAUGAUUAAUCUCCAUUUUUAAAUAAAGAAAUAGAGCCUUGAAAAGCUGAUUUAUUGCUUUAGAAGGGAGCUCAGGCUUAGAUCUUGAAUUAGGUCUUUGGGCUGUUACCCCUGUUCCUAAUCACUACAAAAUCCCAUCCUGCUGCCUUUCCUUCCUUGUUUUUACACACCCACACCCACACCCACACACAUGGGGGCAGUACAUGAGAUCAUUCACAUGUGAAACACUUAGGAUACUCAUAUUUGAGGUUUUUAUUUAACUUGGCCAAUCAGGACCAGAAAAAUGGGCUGGAACUUGGGUCUCAUUCCAAAUCAGUGUUUAUCCUGUUAUACAAUGGAACUCUGCAAGUUUCUCUUGAUUGUUCUUGCUAAGAGAGAUUCUCCACUAAAUUCCUAUUGCAAAUAUUGCUAAUUUCUGUUUGAAAUUAAAUAUAUGCUGCAUUG
rnacentral:lncRNA from 1 species